CCUACGGGUGGCAGCAGUGGGGAAUAUUGGGCAAUGGGCGCAAGCCUGACCCAGCAACGCCGCGUGAAGGAAGAUGGCCUUCGGGUUGUAAACCUUUUUUUAGAGGGAAGAGCAGAAGACGGUACCUCUUGAUUAAGCCACGGCUAACUACGUGCCAGCAGCCGCGGUCAUACGGAGGUGGCAAGCGUUGUCCGGAUUUACUGGGUGUAAAGGGCGUGUAGGCGGGCUGACAAGUCAGAUGUGAAAUCCCGUGGCUCAACCACGGAAGUGCAGUUGAAACUGUCGGUCUUGAGUAUGGGAGAGGCAGGCGGAAUUCGUGGUGUAGCGGUGAAAUGCGUAGAUAUUAGGAAGAACGCCGGUGGCGAAGGCAGCCUGCUGGACGACAACUGACGGUGAGGCGCGAAAGCGUGGGGAGCAAACAGGAUUAGAUACCCGAGUAGUC
rnacentral:rRNA from 1 species